CAGCCGCCGCGAGAAUACGGAGGGUGCAAGCGUUAAUCGGAAUUACUGGGCGUAAAGCGUGCGUAGGCGGUUCGUUAAGUCUGUUGUGAAAGCCCCGGGCUCAACCUGGGAAUGGCAAUGGAUACUGGCGAGCUAGAGUGUGUCAGAGGAUGGUGGAAUUCCCGGUGUAGCGGUGAAAUGCGUAGAGAUCGGGAGGAAUACCGGUGGCGAAGGCGGCCCCCUGGACAAAGACUGACGCUCAGGUGCGAAAGCGUGGGGAGCAAACAGGAUUAGAUACCCCCGUAGUCCCUGUCUCUUAUAC
rnacentral:rRNA from 1 species